AAUGUGCAAGCCCCCUUGGUCCAGUGGUUUGACCAAGGGUUCAUUAAUGAUUCUACACCAGGAGGUAUGAGUUUCAAUUCCGGAGAAAGCAAAAUUAUACGAAUUAAGGGAGAAAAUGCUUACAAGAGAUCUGCAGCAUGGCACAAAAAGUACCGUCAAGCGUGGAUCUUAUAGGACGGCUCAGGUGAUGCAGUCAGGCGUGAAUCCUCAUACGGCAGGUAGAAUUGUCGAUUGUAGAAUCGUCAACUAAUAUUUCUCAUAGUUGUAAUAACAUAAUUAUCCAGCGUUAAAAAAAUUAUAAAUAUUAAUUAAUAGUCUUAUUAUUAUUAUUGUUAUUAUUAUUUUUUUAUUAUAAUGUUUGUUAUAAGAGAUAUUAAAGAUAGAGAAUU
rnacentral:lncRNA from 1 species